GCAGAGUAUUCUAAGGAACGUGGUAUUCCGACGGCCUAAACAUGUUUGCAAGCAUUCGUUCCUUCUUGCCUGCUUAUUUCCUAGUGUUGCUGAGCUGUGCCUGGAUGGCAUCUGCAGCGUUUAGUUCGCAUUGCAAUUGCGAUCAUCCAAAAAGUGAAGCAUGCCAAAUGAUAUGCCCGAAAUAAGAAGUCCGGCAAGAAACUGGCGAUGGCAGCAUUGUUGAAGAAGCCUCUGGACACUACAUUAGUAACUUCAUAGUGCCAUGUAUAUAUUAUGUGACUGCCACGAGAAAAUAAAGGGCUGUUCUUCUUCCCCAAUAA